CAAUUGUAGCCAGAAUGGUGUUGUUGAAGAGUAUAUAGCCGGUAAAAGAAGUGCAUAGUAUAUAUGUAUAUAACAGGCAAUGGAAGCAUAGCAACAGUCGAGUGGAUUUGGUACAGCAAAACUCAUUUUCCGCAGAUAAUCUGAAAGCAAUCUAUUUAUUAUGGCAAGAGAAAAGUCAGAGAAGAA